rnacentral:rRNA from 1 species
GAUUCUGGCUCAGGAUUAACGCUGGCGGCGUGCCUAAUACAUGCAAGUCGAAUGGUAGCAAUACCAUGGCGAACGGGUGAGUAACACGCAGGUAACCUGUCUUUAAGCUGAGGAUAACCAUUGGAAACGAUGGAUAAUACUGGAUAGGACAUUUGAAGGCAUCUUUAAAUGUUUAAAGAUUUAUCACUUAGAGAGGGGCCUGCGGCGCAUUAGCUAGUUGGUGAGGUGAAGGCUUACCAAGGCGAUGAUGCGUAGCCGGACUGAGAGGUUGAACGGCCACAAUGGAACUGAGAACGGUCCAUACUCCUACGGGAGGCAGCAGUAGGGAAUUUUCGGCAAUGGGCGGAAGCCUGACCGAGCAACGCCGCGUGAACGAAGAAGUAUUUCGGUAUGUAAAGUUCUUUUAUUAGGGACGAAAAGACAGAUUGACGGUACCUAAUGAAUAAGCUCCGGCUAACUACGUGCCAGCCGCGGC